CACCAGGCCAAGGACCCUGCCCCUCGCCCCUCCCCGCCUCAGCUCUUCCCUGCCACGUGUCCCCUGGUGCUGCCAUGGCACCUGCACUUCAGAGGCCAGGGUCAGUUGGAGACCUGUGGACACACAGAGAAAGAAGUCGCUGGAAAAGCUGACCCAGUAAUGAGAUAACGUGAACAUAUGGUGGGCUUUCUCUGAGGUGCCCGUGCUCCCAUGGCCAGGAGGAACAUCUCUGAGUGGCAACACGUAGCGCUGGGGCCAGGCAAGAGGCUGGGACCGAGAAGCUGGUGCUGACUGAAUCGUGGACCCAGGGAAAUGGCCACAGUGGUUGGAGGUCACCCCGAGCUGGCCUGUCCUACCAGGUGCUGCUGGGAUGGGGGCGGGAAGGAGCUGGAAGGAAACAGCACGUCUGACGUGUGGAGAGCCAAGCGUCCACUCCCUGCAGGGGCAGGAACAGACUAAAUUCUGGAUUGCUCUUUGGGGAAAGUGAGAGCCAGGGAGCCAUGUGUCCCCAGGGACCCAGUAACCCCACUCCUGGGAAUUCAGUCUAAGGAAACUUCUCAAAGGAUGACACGGACGGAUGAACUGACAGGGCAGCGGGGAGGAGCCAAGCACUGAGCUAAGCGCCUGUCACAUCCUCGGAGCAGCUGGGGACAGCCGCGGUCACAGCCAUCCUACAAGCCAGCGGGCUCGGUGCUCCACGUUAUCUUCUCCAUUGUUAGCCAUGAAAUGAAAAAGCCCCGUGUGCGCUCCUGCCCCUCGCAGUGUCUCCUCCUGCCUGCCCCCGGGUGUGAGGGCGGCCAGAGCAGCACUUGGUUCCCUCUACCUAUGAGGAAUGUGCUGGAACGUCUUUGUGGAACUGAGUCUGCAGAGGAAUGGCAGCAAGCAGUUUUCCAUGGUAACUCAACUGGCAUUUUAGGGGGAGCAGACAGCAAGCCUCCCAUGUGGGCGAGGCAGGGAGGCUGGCCCUGUUCUGAGCAGAUGGGAGACCCAGGGGCUGGGGGAGAGCUGGUCCCGGGCCAGUGUCCGCCCUGUCCAUGGGGAGCACCCCAACACGGGCACCUCAAGUAGGUGCGGACAUGGCCCAGGCUCUCAGAUAUCCUCUCCGUCGGUGUGGCCCGGAGCCACCAGCCGCCCCCGCCCAGUCUCUCAGGCCCAUCUGGCCGAGCCCGCUGCAGGUUCCGCCCGUCUCCCCGUCCACGGUUUGGCAACCCUGCCCCUUUCUCCCUCGGGCCUCAGCUGCAGCGGCAGCUGAUUCUAUCUUGAAAACGUCUGUGGCCUCACGUGUGACACCCCUUGCCCUCAGGGUGCCCCCAUUACCUUCUCCUUAGGUGAACCUCCCAGCUUGCACACCUGCACCCUAAAUUCAGAGUCCCCCCUCAACUGUCAGCCAUUUCAUGCUAUCCUGAGACCUGGUGGACCCGCCACCAUGGGGAAGGGGCUCCCGGCACAGAAUUCUGCUGCUGGUCAGUGUGUGUGUGGGGUGGGGGGGGGAGUCUUAGGGCCUGAGCACAGAGGAGAAGUCACUGGAACGUGCCUAGUUUCGUUGGCAACUGACCCUCUCCUCAGAUGAAGUCUAGACCCAACACCCAUCUGCUUUCCAGAGGCGCCAGAGCCUGAAACGAAUCGGGCUGUUCCUCAGCUGCACGAGGUGGCAAACAAGCUGCCGCACCUCACGCUUCUUCGGAGCCUUGAGGCCCCAGAGGUGCGCCCCUUGCUUCAGCGCUGGCCUCGGUGCCGAGGACGCCAGAGCAGUCCAGGGUGAUGGAAGUCAGGGGGACCGCGACACCUGCAAGGUUCUGCUACCAGGGGGCCCCUGGACUUGUCGCAGCUGGACUUGGCCGGGGCUGGGACACAGUUCUGGCUAAGGGCACGGGCUCUGGAGGCAGCCAGACUGGGCUGGAAACUCAGCCCCUUCAAGUGCACCGUGGGUGAUGAUCAGUGACCUAGCAUUAGCGCCGUGAGCCCUGCUGCCAGAGGCUCGGGGGCUGCUGCCCUGGGGGUGCGGCCUGAUCCUGCCUCGUGAGCCGCCUGUACUCACCAUUCCCACUUUAAAACCUUCUGAGAUGUUUCUUGGGUUCUCCCCUCCGCUUCCCCUCCCUUGCUCCCAAUUCCACUGAGGACGCUGGAGGUCCAGACUGCAGGGCCUCCCAAGGCUGUCCAGGUCUCAUCUCCAAUCUGUACCCCCACCCACCCUCCACGUGGAGACAGAUGUUGCCCGGUAUUGCACAACCCUGGCCACGCGCUCUGGACCGCUGGAGAAACAAUCAAGCACGCAUGCAUCCGAACUUCUCCCAGUACAGCUGAACUGGUACUCUGGCAUGAGAGCUGGUCUAUCAUUUUCAGUCCUAAUUUUGCUCCAAGUUGUUUUUCUCUUCCUGUGCUAACACAUGCUCAGCUCUCUUACGCAGCACACGACAUCCCUGCGAUACAAGUGUGUGCUAGGUCCUGACGGCCAGACUCUACACUCCACUGAUGCGGCCUCAGGGACCUCACACUCCACCCACGGGCUCCACA